rnacentral:rRNA from 1 species
CAGUCGCCGCGGUAAUACAGAGGGUGCGAGCGUUAAUCGGAAUUACUGGGCGUAAAGCGCGCGUAGACGGUUUUGUAAGUCAGAUGUGAAAUCCCUGGGCUCAACCUGGGAACUGCAUUUGAUACUGCAUGGCUAGAGUAUCGAAGAGGGAAGUGGAAUUUCCGGUGUAGCGGUGAAAUGCGUAGAUAUCGGAAGGAACACCAGUGGCGAAGGCGACUUCCUGGUCGAAUACUGACGUUCAUGUGCGAAAGCGUGGGGAGCAAACAGGAUUAGAUACCCGCGUAGUCCCUGUCUCUUAUAC